UACGUAGGGUGCAAGCGUUGUCCGGAAUUAUUGGGCGUAAAGAGCUCGUAGGCGGUUCGUCGCGUCGGCUGUGAAAUCCCGAGGCUCAACCUCGGAUCUGCAGUCGAUACGGGCGGACUGGAGUUCGGCAGGGGAGACUGGAAUUCCUGGUGUAGCGGUGAAAUGCGCAGAUAUCAGGAGGAACACCGGUGGCGAAGGCGGGUCUCUGGGCCGAUACUGACGCUGAGGAGCGAAAGCGUGGGGAGCGAACAGG
rnacentral:rRNA from 1 species